AAUAGAACUAGUUUUGUGUAUGUGCUGAUUAGGCAGUGUAUUGUUAGUUAGCUGUUGUUCACAUACCAGCAACUAAAUACGCUUCCACAUUAGCACACGACCUUGCAUCAAUGUUUAGA
rnacentral:pre_miRNA from 15 species